UGUGCAUAAUGAGAAGCAAAAAGCCAGAGAUGCAUGAAAGCAUAGCUAUUUACUUUUAUAUAUAUAUAUAUGAAAUGGUGCUUAAUUUCUAACUUAUUACCUCAGCAUUAUCAGACCUGAAUUAAUAUUACCAAAAACAUACAGCUGAACCAAAGAAGCCCAUGCUUAUGCACUUCUCCACCCUUCUGUGUUAUGAGUAGCACGUUGUGAAUGGAGGGGUUGGGAAUCAAGAACCGGUUCUUAUUCAAAACAAGCUCAUUUUUUUCUUUUCUUUUUUAAAGGCAGUAUCUAUUUACACUAAAUGCAGAUAGCAGACUUUGUAUUUAGUCUCAGUACAAUUAGCACACCUCUUCUUCCCAGCCAACAGGGAAUGUUUUUGGCAAGGUUCUCUCAAAGUUAUGAAAACCGUUCUUCUAGUAACAUUGGUGGACUGUUUGUUCAAAGUUAUCCAGACUUUAAUAAUGUUGUCAUAAUGUUUGCACAAAACGUCAUUUAUACAUCAUUCAUUCAACUUUUUUUAAACGUUAAUAUUUGUUUCAGAAUGUUCAGAGAAAAUUUUAAAGUAACAUUCCCAUAAUGUUUGCAAAAUGAUUUAACAGAAACGGACUGUUUUAAGUGUUCAGAGAUUGUUCAUAAAUACUUUAACGGGAAUGUUAGCAUAAUGUUCUCAGAACACUUUUUUUUUUGUUAGUUGGGUUUCUGCACUUCGUGAUUCAGUUCUGUUAACGAUUCUGGAUUGACUGCAUUCACUAUAAUAAAAUAUGCCAAGCCGAUCAGUGUUAAUCUAGUUUUCUGACGUCUGUGCAUAUGAAUUCUAUUAGUAAUUAUUUCAUGUGAUUACAAACACACACAUGCACAAUGCUUUGCAGACGUGGAGCAUGACACAUCUCAUAAAAAUGUCAUUUGAAGCAGUACUGUUGGUUUAAUAAAUAUAACAAAGAUUUUCAAAGACAGCAACAUAUAAUCUUAUUUCUGAGGAUAGUGAUUGCAAUAAGAAUUGUUUUCCAAUCAUUGUCCAUUCUCUCUUCUUUAAAAAUGACUAAAAGAAUCGUUAACAGAACAGAACCACCGAGUCAAAAAACGGAAUCAUUUAAUUCCACACGAUUCUCAUCCCUAUAGAACAGCUACUUUAAAUACAGUGCCUUCUGAUCAUAUUUGAACUCUUAUAUAAAUAUAAUUUCACCAGACUUACACUAACACCAUCUUCUGCUGCCUGCACAUAAGUUUUGCUUUGUGUUUGUUUUUUGAUGUGCUAUAUAUGAACAGCUUAGAAUUAAGUAUUACCCCGUAUUGUGUAAUGUUGUCACCUGACACUAUUUAUCAGAUGGAGACAAAGAGUAGGGUGUUCAUUGGGUAUUUUGUUUCAUAAAGGUCAUAAACUCUGAGACUUGAAGCUUUUAACUAGAGUUCUGUCCAGUCAGGAGGCUCUGGAUUCUGGUUUGUUUGAGAUGAACCCUCUCUUGGUUACACCAAUUGCACUGAUUUUCUCUGAGGUUUACAGGACACAUGUUCAGGUCAUUAGAAGACUCGAGUUCAAUCUUUGUCCCACUUUCACAUGCUCAAGCAGGCUGUAUCUUCUGUAAACAAAGUCUAGAAACAAUGGCUAAACCAAACGUGGGUCACCUAAACGUGGUCAAGCUAUUUUGGACUUUGAGCAGCUUUGCCCAUUUUCAGUGCACAUUACACAAGUAUUAUUGUCCUGAAGCCCAUAAACCACGAACCUGUCUUUGACACAAUUAAAGAGAACCAAAAAAAGAUUAUAAUUCAAAACACUUUUUGCAUUGAAAACAAGUCACUGCUUUUUUAUCAAAUGUACUUUAAAUGUAAUUAUGUGGAAUAUUUGAAGACAUUGAUUUUGAAUUGUAUUGCUGAAUAAACGAACAAUAAAUGCUUUUUGUUUGUCGCA